UACAGAGGCCAAGAGCGUUGUUCGGAUUUACUGGGCGUAAAGGGCGCGUAGGCUGCGCGGCGUGUCAAGUGUGAAAUCUCCGGGCCCAACCCGGAAAGUGCGCUUGAAACUACCGCGCUCGAGUGCGGAAGGGGGAGUCGGAAUAUAGGGUGUAGCGGUGAAAUGCGUUGAUAUCCUAUAGAACACCGGAGGCGAAGGCGGACUCCUUGUACGCAACUGACGCUGAGGCGCGAAAGCCGGGGGAGCAAAC
rnacentral:rRNA from 1 species